rnacentral:snoRNA from 1 species
GCCUAUGAUGGCAAUCUCUUCACUUUGACCUGACGUCUAUUGAAGAAACCCAGCGUCUGAGG